UAGUCUGGUGCCAGCAGCCGCGGUAAUUCCAGCUCCAAUAGCGUAUAUUAAAGUUGUUGCAGUUAAAACGCUCGUAGUCGGAUUUCGGGGCAGGUUUGCCGGUCUGCCGAUGGGUAUGCACUGGUAGAACUGUCCUUCCUUCCGGAGACGGCGCCUACUCUUAACUGAGCGGGUGUCGGAGACGGAUCGUUUACUUUGAAAAAAUCAGAGUGUUUCAAGCGGGCAGCUCGCUUUUGCAUGGAUUAGCAUGGGAUAAUGAAAUAGGACUUUGGUGCUAUUUUGUUGGUUUCGAACACCGAAGUAAUGAUUAACAGGGACAGUCAGGGGCACUCGUAUUCCGCCGAGAGAGGUGAAAUUCUUAGACCAGCGGAAGACGAACCACUGCGAAAGCAUUUGCCAGGGAUGUUUUCACUGAUCAAGAACGAAAGUUAGGGGAUCGAAGACGAUCAGAUACCGUCGUAGUCUUAACCAUAAACCAUGCCGACUAGGGAUUGGAGGAUGUUCCUAUGUGACUCCUUCAGCACCUUUCGGGAAACUAAAGUCUUUGGGUUCCGGGGGGAGUAUGGUCGCAAGGCUGAAACUUAAAGGAAUUGACGGAAGGGCACCACCAGGAGUGGAGCCUGCGGCUUAAUUUGACUCAACACGGGGAAACUUACCAGGUCCAGACAUUGUGAGGAUUGACAGAUUGAGAGCUCUUUCUUGAUUCGAUGGGUGGUGGUGCAUGGCCGUUCUU
rnacentral:rRNA from 1 species